rnacentral:SRP_RNA from 1 species
GCCGGGCGAGGUGGCGGGCGCCUGUAGUCCCAGCUACUCGGGAGGCUGAGGCAGGAGAAUGGCGUGAACCCGGGAGGCGGAGCUUGUAGUGAGCUGAGAUCCGGCCACUGCACUCCAGCCUGGGUGAGGGAGCGAGACUCCGUCUCAAAAAAAAAAAAAAAAAAGAAUCUAGAAGGGUUGUCCUAAGAUCUAUCUAUAUCUUUUUUUUUUUUUUUUUUUUGAGAUGGAGUCUUGCUCUGUCACCUGGGCUGGAGUGUAGUGACGCGAUCUGGGCUCACUGCAAGCUCCGCCUCCCGGGUUCAGGCCAUUCUCCUGCCUCAG